UCGGGAAUUUUGGGCAAUGGGCGAAAGCCUGACCCAGCAACGCCGCGUGAGGGAUGAAGUAUUUCGGUAUGUAAACCUCGAAAGAAUGGGAAGAAUAAAUGACGGUACCAUUUAUAAGCUCCGGCUAACUACGUGCCAGCAGCCGCGGUAAUACGUAGGGAGCAAGCGUUGUUCGGAUUUACUGGGCGUAAAGGGCGCGUAGGCGGCGCGGUAAGUCACUUGUGAAAUCUCUGAGCUUAACUCAGAACGGCCAAGUGAUACUGCUGUGCUAGAGUGCGGAAGAGGCAACCGGAAGUCUUGGUGUAGCGGUGAAAUGCGUAGAUAUCAAGAGGAACACCUGAGGCGAAGGCGGGUGGCUGGGCCGACACUGACGCUGAUGCGCGAAAGCCAGGGGAGCAAACG
rnacentral:rRNA from 1 species